UUGCAGCUAGGCUGACGCCGUCCGCCGGCCGCGGGCCCAGGAACUCCGGUGCGACUCCGGGGCGGUUCCGCCACUGUGAAUCCGUGCACUCCACCGUCGGGCACGGGUGAGCCAGACACUGACCGCGGCCGCUUCCGACCA
rnacentral:ncRNA from 2 species